rnacentral:rRNA from 1 species
UACGUAGGGUGCAAGCGUUGUCCGGAAUUAUUGGGCGUAAAGAGCUCGUAGGCGGUCUGUCGCGUCUGCUGUGAAAACUCGGGGCUUAACCCCGGGCCUGCAGUGGGUACGGGCAGACUAGAGUGCGGUAGGGGAGACUGGAAUUCCUGGUGUAGCGGUGAAAUGCGCAGAUAUCAGGAGGAACACCGGUGGCGAAGGCGGGUCUCUGGGCCGUAACUGACGCUGGAGGCGACGAAAGCUAGGGGAGCAAACAGG